AUAAGGGGAACCUAGCCAGCCUCCAAAGGGUACCCAGCAAUGAGGCGACUGCAGUCCUUGGGGCUAAGAUCCCAGAUGGGGCAUCUUGAGUUGCGUCUGAUGGUAGUUUAGCUUCAACGCCACCUGCCUCCCUUGGGACCACAUGAGUGGAGGAUGUCCUCUUGGGUUCAUCUGAAGACACAAACACACCGUACUGAUAAGGCCAUGUGAUAAGGAAGGUCCUGGCUUCACGGAAACAAGAUGGGCUUUCGCGAAUCAGGCUCUGAGAAGUCACCCCAAGCAGCAGAAGUUGAUCUUGAGAUGAAGUAAUGUCUACCAGGCCCUCUGGGAGAAUUUCAAGGCAGACAGUGGGCAGCCCCUGGGGCCCUAACAUUGCCUGAUCCUUCUGCCCGCUGAGAUCAGGACCCCAGUCAGGUGUUGCCUCUGGAGGGCAGGGAAGACGCUUGAGGCCAUGAAGAAGCAGACUCAACAUCAUACAGCAGAAGAAAGCGAACACAACCACGUAACCAGAUCAAGACACCGAACACUGCAACUUGUGAGCGUUAUGUGCAUGUGCCGGUUAUACUCCAGGAUGUGGCUGUGGCCUUCACAGAUUCGAAUGGAAAGGACUGACCUCUGAGCAGAGGAACCUAUACAAAGAAGUGAUACCGGAGAAUUACAGGAAUCUGCUCCCAUUGGCAGAACCAAAGGUGGAAAUCUACUCCUGUGCCUCCUGCCUUCGAGCCUUCUCCCUCUGCCGACGUGUGCUUCCCAUCUUCCUGGGCUUCCGUGACGUCAGCCCCCAUCAGACACCACACUCACGGGAGAAUCCUUGUUUCCAGGGAGUGUGGGCAAGGCUUUAGCCAUAAGUCAAAUCUUAUCAGACACCAGAGGGUACACUGAGGCGAGAAGCCUUCUGUGUGCGGGCAUCCUGGGCGGGACUUCGUUAACCAGUCAGACCUCAUCCUGCACUGGAGAGACAGACGGGGAGGCAUCCCUAGCUGUGCGUGGAGUGUGAACAAAGCUUCCGAGACACGUCGGUCCUCAACAGGCUUCAAGGACACAUUCAGGAGAGGAGCCUUCUCUGUGCAGAGCGUAGGCAACUCAGCAGCCAGAAGUCAACCCUCACUGAACAAAAAGGAUGCACGUAGGUGGGAGGUGCUGUGUGUGCAGGACUGUGGGUGGGGCUUCAGCAAUAAAUCAGUAUUCACU